rnacentral:lncRNA from 1 species
CCGGAACGUGCGCGGAGGGCGGGGGCAGGAAACGGGAAGCGAGGGGCGGGGCUGCCGUUGCCAUGGCAGUGACGUCAGGCGUCGGGGAGCAAACCCGGCCCCUUCCCCACGCGCGCGCGCGCACCGCCGGAGACAGGCACACGCGCGCGCACCGCCGCUCUCCCUCAGACACACUGGAGGGAAAGGUCAAACUAAAGGCGAGGGAGCCGGGAAGCCGGAGGGAGCCGCUGCCGCCGCUGCCGCCGCCGCCGCCGCGCGCCAUGACGGACGCGGCCGAGGCUGCUUUCUCCCAGCCGCCGCCGCCGCUCUCGCCGCGCCCCCCGCGCCCCCUCCCCCGGCGCUCGCGCGUCCGCGCGCCCCCUCCCCCCGGAGCCCCGGGCGCGCGUCCCGGCGCGGGGCGCGCGCCUGCCUGACCGCGGCGCAGAGGGUGGGGGCCGCGGCGGGCGGGCGGGCGGCCUCCUCGCGCGACCCCCAACCCCCCGCCCGGCCCCUCGGCGACAGCCCGCCAGGUGAGUGCGGGGGGCGCGGGGAGAGGGUGUCAGGAGUGGACAGGGCGCCGGGCGAGCUCAGACCCCGGCCGACCCCUUCCGGGGGCGCUGACAGGCGCUCGGCCCCGGCCUCUGGGGGGCGUCGCGGGGUCAGCCCGUCGGGGGGCCUCUUGGGGCGCCCCUGCCCUUCGGUGUCGGGGCACGGAGUGGUGGGGGGCUCGGGACAGGGGGAGCGCCUUCGCCGGACAGGAGUUGGCAGGGCGACCCGGGCGUGGGGACAGGCGGCAGGAGGCAGGUGGGCCCCUCUCUGGGGCUCGGCGAAGGGCGGGGAGGGGGCGAGCGCCGGGCCAGGUGCGCGGGGCCCGCGGGAAGCUCUCGGGACGCGUUUGUUGGGCAGUUGGGAGAAACUCUGCCCUUGGGACCAGACGUUCUUGCUUUUGCCCGGGCCAGCGAAAGUGGCAGAUUUUACGGCAAAAGUCGGGGGAAGCCAGGCAGAACCGGACGGAAGGGAGAGGGACCGGGAGGACCCUUCUGGAUGGGGACCAGAGAUGAACAGAUCCCCCUGUGGGUAGCACCCGGGCACGAUGUGCGGACGUUGCCAUGCCAGUGCUUGAUGUUUGUUGCUUAUGGUCAUUUUAGGACGAAAUGGUUAAAAAGUUACACUUGGGAGAGAGGGAACUGCUUGAAUGGUCAUGAGUUCUUCCCUGUGUCCGGAGGAAAUGGGUUAAUCUUUCACUCCCCCCCCCCCGCCUCCCCCCACCUGAAUCUAUGCCCAGUGGACUUGAAAAAUAAUAAAUAUAAAACUAAAGCCCCGAAACAGGGUAAUGUUUGUGUGAUGAGUUUCAGGUGUCAGCUCAGUGUUCCGUGGGAGACAAAUAGGAGGAGGACACCGAAGUAGUUGAUAUGCUCAAGAAGUCGUCUUUUUGUAAUAAGCUUUGGAGCCCAUCAGAGUGGGGUUUAGUUAGCACUGCCAGGGUUAAGUAAUCACAUUGACCCAGGGCCUCCCACCAAUCAGGAGCUUCCCUGGAAGUAACUUGCAAGACUGCUGCCAGCCCAGGGCUCUGCCGAUUGUGGAUACCCAGUGCGUCUGCGGGGUUUUUUCCUCUUUAAUUUUCCACUGUUAUAAUGUGUGUAUGUGGGCUACCUAUUUACCAGACGUGAGAAUGAGUUACCCGUAUUAAACUGCUCUCCGCUGAGUCCCUGUAUAAGUCAUCAGGAGUUAGCCCUGACAUACGUCUUUUUUCAUGUUUGAAAAGUUGUUUGGAAAUUUCAAAUAGAAUAGUUUCAGAUUGAUAAAGAUUUUUUGAGUAUAAGUCUCGCUUAAGCAGAUUAUACCAAGUGGAUAAUGUGUUUUAAAAUUUAAAUCUCAUCCACGAAAACUUCUGGUUUGUGAAAGGUGCCGCAUUGUGACAGCAGGGGAAAUGUCUGAAGGGGUCUUUGGUGAAGGAUGAGAGAACAGGCAGGACGCGCGGUGAAUUUUACGUGAACUGGCAGGCUCAGCAUAUACAGACUUGCUCCUUACCUAAGCAUUUCUGAUAUGUGGGUGCUCAGUCUGUUGAUUAAGGACCUUUGGUUAUUUGUCGUUUUCAGAAAGUUCUGGCAACAGAGAACCCUCACUUUGAAAUUGAGUCGUUGUGGCAUGUAGCCAGGGUACCAAAGGUUUUCAGUACAAGAUGUAAGGGAGGAGUAUUCAGUUUGGGAUCUUGUUAAUUCUUUCUGUGUUGCAAUUUUUGUACCUGGUUCUGUGCUGUGACGCCCCUGUACAUCUUGCUCCUGUUGGCUGUUGCUGACAGAUGUUAUAUACAAUCCUGUAAUGGGGUAGUUGAAUGUUACAACCUAAAGCAUCAUGUCCUGUAAUAUAUAAAUAAAUUUUUAUUUUUAUGUUCUUCCUUCUCUCUUUUUAAAGGGAACUGUAGAAUUGGGCAAAUCAGCACUUACUCAGCAUGUCCCCCUUCUGUAGGUCUCAUUGACCUUGGUGGCAUCGUGGAGGUCAUGUGUUCAUGGAGAUAAACAGUUUUUGAACAGUUUCCUCCAGGUGAUAAAGACACGGGGGAAAGUGAUUUGAGAUAUGCAUAUCUUGAUUUUUUUUUAAAAUCAUUUUUAUUGGACAUUUAUUGUGAUCAUUGCCAAAAAUAAUUCGUUGACUUCUUUUGGGGAAUACAUACAUUUCUAUUUUACAUUAAAAAAAUUAAUCACUUAAUUUCUUCUUUCAACUUUUCUAGUAUUGUUUGUAUAUUCUGCCACAGAGGAACCCCUAGUUUUUUGGGUGACAUUUUUAAAACUUGGGAAAUAGAAGAGCCGAAAUGCUGGGAUGAAUUUGGCCUAUGAAAGCAGCUGUGCUCUACUUUAUGAAAUUUGAUAUUUACAAGAAUAAGAUUGCAAAACAGAUUAAGUAGUGGUUAGUUAUGUUAUAUGAGAAGUCCAUAUUUUACAAAAAGGAUCCACUAAAAGGUGCCUUCACAUAAUCCCUUUUAUACAGUACUUACCAAAUAUGUUUUGAUUUAUGAAAAAUCAGUCGACAUACAACAAUUUAGGAACAGAUUCUUGGCAUAAUGUAAGAUUUACCAGUGUGUUUCUUGAAUUAUCUCUUUCCCAAAAGUGUUUGGGGCAAAGUUAAUAUUUAUGGGCUUCUUAAAUUCAGAGUUGUGCCACUUAUAUACUACCUAUUAAUGUUUUAGCUGAAUGGAAAAAUUGUCAUCUGCUUUGUGCUGUACCAUUUUAAGGAGUAGUACAUUGAAACCUAAUUAAAAUGCCAAAUGUUCUGUUGGGGUUUGUCUGGAGCCCGGUCCAGAGUAGUUUAGUUACUGAAGUAUCAAAAGCACCUUGUUGUGAGAUACUCUCACCAGGACGGUGGUCCUGCGACAUAUGCCAAUGAGUGGUUGUACCCAGACUUCAGCAAAAGCAAAAUAAAUAGAUUUGGUCUAAAGUCCACAUGCAGUGAAAACCAUUGCCUUGAAUUUUUCUCUAGGUGCAAAUUACUCUUCAGAAUUGAAGGCUUGAUUUUCCUAAACUGUGAUUCUAUUUGGGUCACUUGUGAAAAAUUCUUUUUUGAUAAAAGAACAACUACGUACUCUUUAAACUUUCAAGGGAGCUUUUCUUUGGUUAGCGGAAUUGGGUUUAUUUGGAAUCACAGGCAAUUGUGAAUAAAGUACUUGGAGUUUUCAUUCUGAAAUCAUUUUGUUUUGGUAAUGUUAAAAAAAAAGGAAUGUGGGUUAAUAUGAGUAGAACUUGCUUGUGGCUUGGCUCAAAUUUUAUGAUGGGAGAGGCAGAAAGGGAGGAACUGGACACAAACUUUAUUAAGGACAAUUAAUUAAAUUUACUUUGCUUUGUACUGUUCAUGCCUGGCUUUGUAAGAGUGACACCUCUCCUCCCCAAUUUGGAAAAUUCUUAUUCUUAGAGAUUUAAAGGGUAAGAGCUAAGCAUAAGGGUAUAUAAGUGUUGAAAGUAUCUUUUGAGUGCUUUAUUAGUUUUUUGUUUUGUUUUUGUGCGUUAGACAGAAAGCAAGAAAUUAUUUUCAUACUGAGUAUGGGUCAAGAGCCCAACUUUCGGAUAAUAGGCACAGUUUUAUUCCUCUUAGCAUAAUUGAAUAAUAUAAAAAUUGAGGGAACAGCUUGAAUGAUGCCACUGAUUUUUUUAUUACAGGCUUUUAGUUCCUCUGUUGAACAAAUGAGUAAAAAUGAAGAUUGAAGAUGUGAUAUUAAAAGAAAUGUUGUCUUUUUUGUUUUCUUAAACCCACAGGACUGUCUCAAAGGAUUGCUAAUUUUAGAGCAUAGUGAAGUAAAAGAAGUUCAUUAUUGGAUUUAUCAUUAAUGAGGGCAUAUAAUUAAAAAUUUUAAAAAACACAUGCAAAAACAAAGUAGACUGCUGCAUUUUAAAAAUAUUUGUGCCAAAAUCUGUGAGACGAGAGGUAAUGAUUAGAAAUUUUAAUUGGAACUGAAGGCUGAUUUAUGUUCGCAGUUUGAUAAUUUAACCCUCUGUCACUUUUAAAAUGUCAUUUAAUUUUUCUGUCCCAGUUUUCUCUUCUAUAAAAUGCAGUCAGUGCAACAUACUUUAUGUACAAUGGUUUUUAAAUAAUAUUUGCGAGACUUCUUAAGCAUAAAAUAUUACCUAAUAUUAAUAUAUAUGUGUAAGUCUACUACAUGGGGUUUUAAAAAGUUUAGACCUUGUAAUCUGCAGACAUUUGGGCAAAAGUUUUAAAAAUGAGAAAAGCUGAUGCUGUAAGUUGCAUUUUCCUCAUUCUCCUUAAAGGAUUUCCUUUUGCUAUUACAUGUUUAUAUUUUCCAGACUCCAGUCAGGCUAGUUUUUAGUGUUGAAUCAUCUUAUCUGUAGCAUUAAUAGAAAGUUUACUUGUAAAAACUGCCCUCUUAAUUUUCUCCCAGCUGUUCCAUCUAGGAGAUUGUUUGAAUUUCAGUUACUGAAUGUGGUUCAAUCAGAAGUUAUUCUAAAUAGAAAGUUUUUUGCAAUUUUCACGAACUAGGGGAAAAUUUAAAUUUAUUUUAAGAUCAUUUAUGAACAUUUUUAUAUUACUGUGAGAACAAUUAAACACAGAAUGUGUAAUUUAAUAUUUCUAACUUAUUAGCAUUUGUUCUAAGUUUAUUUGGUGUAUUGUUAAAAUUCAAUGUGGGUAUAGUCUCUUUAAAAAGAUAUCUGUUUACAAAAUAUCUAUUUGUCUGUGAAAUAUUUUUUUAAAAACUUGCCCUCAAAUGGGCGAGAGAGAGAAACUUUACUCUGCAAACUUCUGAUUGAAUAUAUAGUUAAAUGGUUUAUAUUGGGUAUUGUUUUGAUUGUUAUUUUACAAAUGAAGAUUUUUUGUAUGUUUUUGUAGGGUUACUUUCAAGUAUAUUUUUAUUUGUAAAAAGAAGCUCUUCUUUAAAAAUGUCAUUUUGUACUUAUUGGUUAUUUGGUAGUUCUCAGACUUUUAUAUUUGAGAGAAAUGGAAAUGAGUAAUUUAUUAAGCUGUUUCCCUAAAAUGUGCUCAUUUAGUUGGAACAUGUGAUGUAAUUUGUUUUUACUAUAAUGUAGAGAGUUAUCUUUAUCCCAAAUUCAUAGUAGAAUAGUUGGCUAUUUUUGCAAAUUUAGGGAGUAUAGAUUAUACCCUGAAAUGAACCAUUGAAUGCUAAGUGUUGGACUGAGUUUACAGUAUCUCAUGGAAAUGGUGUUUUCCUUUUAAAGGCGUUUAUAUUGUUUCUGUUUAAGGACCAUUUCUUAAACAUGCCAGUAAGUGAAUAUAUUGUACCUGUUGGUCAAGUGCUGUAUUGAAGGAUUUAAUCUGUAUCCUAUGCUUCUCUCCCCUCUUCUUGCUUUUAAUAAUUGUCAAUAUUUGGCCUUUAGCCACAUACUAUCAGAUAAUUUUUAACGCUUGAUAGGAUGGCCCAGGUUGGUGGUUGGUUUCUUUUCUAGUGUCUUAUCUGAUGGAGAAAAGUAAGAGUAUUCUGUAACUCUUUAAUGUGUGUUAAACAUUGUUUUGAACAUUUAUUUUUAAUCUAUUAUUUCUAAUGGGGAUAACACUUUAAAAGUUCUUGAGACUGUUUAAGUGGUUACAUUCCCGUGCAAGUAUUAGUGCGAGGAGCAAGGACACUAGAGGUAGAGAGGAUUCUAGGGGUUAGAUUAGGUUGUAUAAAGUGAAUAAAAUUGUUGUGAUAUAAAACGUGUUAAAUUAAUCAUUGUAUAUACGUUUUCCCUAGGAUUGUAACCUUGCUUUUUUAUUAGCACUUCUCACUGUGAAGAGUCAAGAGUAGCAAAUUGCCAGGAGAGGUUAUGCAUAUCUUUAAUCAGUUUUACCUGUUAUUGUUGAGAACAUAUUAGAUGGCUAUGAGGAAGAUAAGCAGUUUCACACUCAUGAACGUUUUCAGUGGUCACAUUUAGGGCUCCAGAUUUUAUAAGGUGGGAGAACAGAUGUUCAAGUGAUAGGUGGGAAAGGGUUUUCAGAUACAAAGUCAUUGUUAAGAAAAUUCAAGUGUACCUAUCUGGAAAAAAUUGCAUUUUAGCAAGUACAAUCAUAUAUGCUAUAUUUUCCAACGCUGUAACUGUUUUGACUAUUCUGUGGCCAUAAAUACACUAGUAUUUUUCCGACCAUAAAUCCUAACUUUUAGGCUAAGAAAUGUGAUCACUUAAAAUUCGAGUUUAACUGAAGAGUGAAAAAGCUGAUAAUUAAUCUUUAUCUUCCUUUUUCUACAUUAUAACUUUUUGUCAUUAAUUUUCAAGGCCUAGUACUAUUUGCUUAAGUUCUAUAUAUGCCUAGUUCUAUAAUUGAAGAGAAACUAAGAGAAUGAAUCCUUGUACUUGAGAAAUUAGAAUCACAUUGGGAGAGGCAUGAAGUAAAUAGAAGAUAAUUGCAUAGAUAUAUUAAUUUUUCUUUCUAAAGCAGUGGUUUUGAAACUGUAUUCUGUAAAGGCUCCUGGAGGAAGUCAGGAAGGUUCAUUCCAAUUUCAACCAGUGCAGUUUUACUUUGAUUAAUUUUAAGUGUGAAGUUUAUGUAAGAUUUCACUUGAGAGCAGGGUUCUGUUGUUUAAAAUAUAAAGUAUGAUAACCACUAGUGGUAGCGUAAUUGGCCUUAUCACUGUCCUGCUUAAAUCCUUACAAUGGUUGAGUCUUUUUAUUGUGACUUACAAGACUUUUCUUUUUUAGCUCCAGCUUCGUUCUUCAUCUGAUAUCACUUUUUCCCUUGCUUUCCAUGUAAACCCCACAUUCUAGUCCUACUUAAAUUGCUUGAUAUUCCCUGAGAGGAAAACGUUCUUUUACAUCUCAAUUCCUUUGCACAUGAAACUGCCAUCAUUCUUGACAUGCUAAGCGGAAGUUUGUUCCCUUGGAGCCUUGGUCAUAGCUCCAUAAAAGCACUUAUUUCAUUGUUUUGUAACUGUGGCCUCCCUUGAGAGCAGAGACCAUCUAGUUUAUCUUUGUAUCUGUACUACUUGGUGUUCAUUAAGUAUUCAAAUGUCUGCUGAAUAAUUGCAUUUAGAAUUUGAGAAGUAGUAGAAUUACUUUAAUGCACACUCAUGUGAAUAAAACAUCCCAGAUCUAGUUUGUACGAGGUAUUUUUAGUGUCAUAGUGUCAGGCAUUAUGCUAAGUAUAUAAAAGGCAGCCAGUUACUCUUAUCAUGAAGUAUUAUAAAGCCAAAAGAUAUAUUAUAUGGAAAAAUUAGAUUAGGUACUAGUGACUUUAAGUAACGUACGGGAUUCCGUCAUCUAAUCCUAAAAGUUGGUUGUGAAAGCAUUUUAAUAAUAAUUCUGUACAGUCCUGACUGCCUGUGAAAAAAUUUCUUCAUAUGUGACUAAAGCUAAUGGACUAAAAAGGACCUUCAAAUGUCAAAGUAUAUAACAGAGCAAUACUCACCACCGAUAAAAAUUAAAGAAUGAGCCCUGGAGCUGUCCUGCCUGAAUUUAUAUCCCUUUCCUGCCUGUCAACAGCUGUGUGAUCUUGUGUAAGUUACUUAACCAUUCUGUGCCUCCUUUUUCUUAUUUGUAAGAUGAGGAUAUUGAUAAUAAUACUUUAUAUGACUGUGAUGAAGGGGAUACAUGAGUUAUUGGAUAUUGAGUGCUUAAAAGAAUGUCCAACACACAGAAAACACUCAAUACAUGUUAGCUAUAAUUAGUUUCUGGUGGCUUCUUAUUUAGACAGAUGUUUAUUGUGCACCAUUUCUGCCAUUUAAAAAUAAUUGUUUUAAUACAUGAAUAUCUAAUUUAAAAGAAACAUAACGUUUUUAGUUAGUUACUAUAUCUGUAAACUGGCAGCUGUUUUCUCUCCUUACUGACUCAUUUUCCCAUCUCCCAGUGGAGUAUAGACUGUUUCUGUCAGAUGGAUUGACAUGGGAGAUUUGAAACCAUGUUCUCCUGACUUCUGCAGCAGAGCACUGUGUUCCCAUGACCUGUACGGUUCUUGGUAGUGCCCACGAGAGAGGAGGAGAGAAAUAACAAGUGUAAGAAUCCAGUGACAAGUUCUUAAACAAGCCUUAACCCGUACCAAAAAUGUCCUACACUUUCAUACUCCUUAGCAGAGGAUAAGUGUUCAGCUUUUUUCCUUUUUACAUUUUCUUUUACUUUUCUGUCUUGGAGGAAUAGAUUUUUUUAAAACUUUUUUUUAAUUUAUUUUUAUUUUAUUUUAUUUUGAGGAACAUUAGCCCUGAGCUAAUAUCUGCCAAUCCUCCUCUUUUUGUGGAGGAACACUGGCCCUGAGCUAACAUCUGUGCCCACCUUCGUCUGCUUUAUAUGUGGGACGCCACCACAGCAUGGCUUUUUGCCACGUGGUGCCAUGUCCUCACCCGGGAUCCGAACUGGUGAACCCUGGGCUACCAAAGUGGAACGUGCGAACUUAACCGCUGCGCCACCGGGCAGGCCUAAGAACAGAUUUUUUAAAAUCCUAAUUUACAUUUAUUCCAGAAAGGCACAUACAACUUAAUGUCAAUGAACGUGUUCAUUUUUUUAUUACAUAAAUAGUAUGUACUAUGAAAAUCCUACAUACUAUAAAAUCCUGUUAAAUACACCCAUUUAGGAUGCAGAAAAGAAAAAAACCUAAGAAGACAUUUCUGUUCCAAGAUAUUUUGCAAAGAGGUUAUCCAUUUCUUAUUAUAAGAAUAAUACCCAGUGUGUCCUUAUAGCCUACUUUGACUUUCUCUCUCUAUGUAACAAUUCAAAUAUAAUGAAAAGUUACUGGGGUAACUUUUUAAAAAUAUUUCAUUAAAGGAAAGAAUUUAACAAACAAAUCUGAGUGUUUAAUAUGCUAACGGUGAGUGAUUUGAAGAUGAGGGGCUGGGAUAUAAAGAUAAGUCAGGCAUUUAUCUUUAUAUAGUACUUAGAACCUGUUGGAGAGGCCAGAGUAUGCAGAGAAUACUUGGGAAUUGAAAGCUGGAAAUGAGACUGGCAAACAGCUAGAUUUUGACUAGAGUAAGGAAACAAAAUAAGACAUUAGCAAGGGACCAUUUUAAAUGCCAGUGGCAUGCUGUGUAUUAGUCUGCCAUGGAAAAUUUGAAUGCUUAUAAAGUUGAUCAAUAUACUAGCAUUGUUUUGUAAUUAGAACACUAGUUUAAUAUCAGCAAAAUUUUGCUGACGUGCCAUUAUAAGAAUUUUUAAAGUAUUUUUUUGCACCUCCCUGAAAAUUAUGGGAGUUAGGAUAUACUAGGAAAAACAACGUCUAGAAUAAAUACAAUUUUGACUAAGCCUAUUUCCUCUGUACAAACCAAGAUACUCUGUGUUUAAUGUUGUCUAACCUUGAAAUUUCAUUUCCCUUCAACAGAGCAUGCCUUUCUGUAUCUGUUAGGUGAAAACAACUUCUUGUUUUACUUCUUAACCUCAGUUCUUGUUCCUUGUUGUUGUUAUAUUAGUAUUAAUAUUAUUAAUUAAUCAGAAAGGAGAAAUACUGUUUGAGCAUUUUCAUCGCUUCAGCAAUGUUUGGUUACAUAGAGGAGUGAAUGAGAUUUGUACGACUCAACACCCACUUCGGUCUCCUCCGUCGCAUCUACCGUGUUAGUCACAUUCCUUGCUUUAGAGGGUUUCUGAUUGUUAGAAAUAACUUCUCGUUGAGCUGGAUCUAGUUCCCCUCUCCCUUACUGAUCCUUAGCAGUCUAGGGGUAUGUACGCGAAGCAUUGUUCUUAUACACAGUAACUCUUACAGCAUUUGAAAAUGACUGUUAAAUCCUGCUUGAGUCUUCUUUUUGCCAUGCUAAGGGUAAAAAGCCCUAGUUCUCAAAUCAUAUGCACAUGACAUACUUUACAGACCUUUCUCCAUCCACAUUGCUAAACUCAUGACAAUGUCUGUUUGUCAGUAUACCUCUUAAAACUCGGUGGCCAGAACUGACUGACUACUUCAGAUGUGGUCUGACUAUUGCUGAAUACAAUGAAGCUUUUAUCUGGAUACUGUGCUUCUGUUAAUGCAGCCAGAAAUUUGCAUUACAUUUUUUGGCAGCGACAUUACCCUUUGAUCAUAUUGAGCUUAUGGUCAACUAAAACCUUGUCUCUUUUUCAUGUGAACUGCUUUAAGUCUAAUCUUUCUCAUUCCGUGCUUGCCAGCGGAUGCUUUGAAAGUAAAUGCAGAAUAUUUUAUAUUGCAUCACUAUAAAAGUUUAACUGAAUUUAUCACAUUUCAUUCCAGUUGACUAUCCGGAGAUAUGAGCUAACAUUUGUGUAAAACAGCACAAUUUUCAUGGUGUUUUCACAUAUAUUUUUAUUUAAUCUUUACAACAACCAUCCAAGAAUCAGGAGAGAGAAACGACUUUCCACUAAGUCAGGAAUUGGCAGACACAGUACUUCGUCACAGGAUUUUUGAUUCCAGAUCCCAUGCUCCUCUUAUCACUGUUCACUUAGUAAGCAUUUAGCAUGUCCUUUGCUAUGUGGCCGUCACCAUGUAGUGCUGGUGCGUCAGUGAGCAAGACAGAUUACAGUCUCUGCUCUGUGGUAUUUAUGGCCUGGCAUAUAAAUAAUGACUGCCAGUUACUGAGCACUUUCUAUUGGGAAGGCACUGUGGUAGAUUGUAUUAUUGUUCAAAAUAUUUGUUGCCUCUGUCUGCCAGGGGCCUCUUUGUAGGAAGAUUAUAUUUCCCAUGCUGUUGACAUCAGUUUUGGACACUUGGCUUUCUUGACCAGUAAAAUGAUAGAGGAAGUGACAUGUCCCAUGUUUGAGCAGAUGUUUUAAAUUCCAUCUUGUGGUUCUGCCAGUGGCUGUUUUCCUUCUGACAUGGAACCAGCAUGCCUUAGCUAGGGCUGGCCCCAGAGUGAUGGAGCAGAAUUGAAGCCGAUCCAUGAUAGACAUUUAAUGUAAGUGAAAAAUAAGCCCUUGCAUUGUUGGCACCAUGAUUUUGGAGUCGUUUGUUACCAUAGCAUAAUAUAGCUCAAACGGGGUGUGAAUACCGGCAUCAUUCAAGGUCCCUAUGAAGGUAGAUAAGACGUAGGUCUUGUCUUCAAGGAGCUGGCAGUCUUGGUGAAUGCAUUAAAUUUCCAGCAGGUAAGUGGUAGUUGGGGAAGAGGAGAGUACAUGUGUGACGAGGUCUUUGAAGGUGAGAAUCUUUCCUGACCUUCACCUCAUCCCUAGGCUGAGUUGGUCAGUAUGUUUUAAAUCCUGGGUCUGUGGUCCAGCUACUCACUGUCACAACUUUUUAUCAUCCAAAAUUUCAUAAGCAUGUUUUCUGUGCCCUCUUUCAAAUCACCUUUUGUAAAACAAAUGUUUAAGAGGAUGGGCUUCUACAGAAAGUCAUCAGAAACUUCUGUCAUAAAUCUGUUAAUCAGCAUUCCCUAGGUAGCCUAAGAAUCUGCCUACUUGAACUAUUUCUGCAACAUAUCCAGAAAAAUAUGAGAUCCUAGAUUGUAUGUGAAUUUUAUUUGUGAACGUUCAUGUUUCCCAUAGCCACAGCUAUGGAUACACCUCACUUUGUAUGAGGUUUUUAGAGACGAAGUCCAGGGUAGGAUUCUGUGAGGAAUUUCCUUACCCAGAGAAGCUGAAGAAUACAUGGCCAGGGUUCAGGGGAGCUCUUGAAACCUUUGAAGUAAGUACAUGUAAAAUGUUAUGUAAAUAGACGUUCUGGGAUGUAGCUUUUAUCAAAUCGUCAAAGGGAAUCAUGACUGGCCUGGAAGGUUACAAACCCUGUUGUAGAGUGAGGAUAGCGAUAGAACAAUGUCCUGAGAGCACCGCGUUUAAAGGACAGAUGGGGCAGGAGCCCAGAAAGAGAUUCACAGGUUCCUUGGAAAGAACCGAGGACCAGGAGCAGAUAUGUUAUAGACGCCACUUCCUUAUUAAUCAGGUUUUUGAAAAUCUCUUCUAGAGUUUUGCAUGGAUUCUACAUCCAUUUUCAUGGCACUUCUUUAUGGUUACUUGGAAAUUACCAAAUUUCCAGAUACGUUUAAAAUCUUAGGAUAUAAUUUUUCUUGGUCCAUAAAUAUGAAUUAAAGCAAUUCCUCCUUUUGCUGUGUCCUUCCUAUCUUGGGCUUCAAUUUCUUUUUCUUUUUUCCCUUAAUCCUUAUUUACCCUUCCCAGAUUAAAGAUCAAUCUUGUUUAAAAAGGCUGACUCAAGAUAGGAGUGAAACAGUUUAAGGUUAUCUGUUGACAGUUGAUCCCAAGUAAGGAAGCUGGCCUUUGUUCUUUUUGUUGACAAGGCAUUUUUAAGUCUUUAAAAUUUUCCUUAACACUUAUGAUGGAUCUCUACUUUUUUUAAACAAAUAUAUUGAGAUAUAAUUGUACAGUAAAGUGCACCUAUGGAAAGUGUACAAUUUGGUAAUCUUUAUAUGUGUCUACUUAUAAAACCAUCACCAUAGUCAAGAUACUGAACAUAUCAUCACCCCCAAAAGUUUUCUGGGCCCUCUUGGUAAUCUCUCUGUUUAUUCCCCAGACAACCACUGUUUGUUUUCUUUCACUUUGCUUUAGUUGGCAUCUUCUAGAAUGCAGUAUGCACUCUUUUUUGGUCUAGCUUCUUUCGCUCAGUGUGAUUAUCUUGAGAUUGUCCAUUUUGUAGCAUGUAUCAACUUCUUUCUAUUGCUGAGUGGUAUUUUAUUCUAUGAACAUGCUAUAGUUUGUGUAUCCAUUCACCUCUUGAAUCGUAUGGUAGAGGUGUGUGUGUGUGUGUGUGUGUGACAGAGAGAGGGAUAGAGAGAUUGAUUUAUUUUAAGAAAUUGGCUCACAACAGUUGUAGGGGCUAAAGAGUCCAAACUCUGUAGGACAGGCUAGCAGGCUAGAACCUCAGCAAGAGAGUUGAUGUUGCAGUCUUGAGUCCAAGGUCUGUAGGAUAGGCUGGCAGGUUGGAAACUCAGGCAGCAUUUCUGUCUUUCUCUUGACACAGAAUUUCUUCUUCCCCAGGAAACCAGAGAUUUUUUGCUCUGAAGGCCUUCAACUGAUGGGAUGUGGCCCACCCACAUUAUCAAGGAUAUUGGGAUGAAUCAGACAGUCCUUCCCUCACUGUGGAAACAGACAAGUAAACAAACAGUUGCCAUAUGAAUUCAAUGCCAUGGUGAAGGCAGCUUAGUGUGUUGUGGGAGCACGGGAUGGGCGUUUCUGAUUGGCCCGGAGCUACGAUCUGUUCCCAGUCUUCUGCUGUUUCCUUCAAGAAGAUUGUCACUGAGCUAACAUCUGUGCCAGUCUUCCUCUACUUUGAAUGUGGAACCCCACCGUAGCAUGGCUUGAUGAGCCAUGUGUAGGUACGUGCCCAGGAUCCAAACCUGCCUACCCUGGGCCAGCAAAGCAGAGCAUGUGAACUUAACCACUGUGCCACUGGGCCCCUAGGGCUUUUUAAUUCAUUGCUCUUUUUUCUUUUGUUUAAUGGUCAUGUGUUUAUAUCUUUGUGUUACAUACUUUCCUGAUUAUAUACUGGGAUCCUUGCUUUGCUGCACUUUGUCACUUAGAAAAAGCUCAACAUGAAAGUUGAAUUGUAGUUAAAUGAAAAUUUGAGUAUUUAUCUUGUUUUAAUUAAUACAAUGAAAUAUUGUAAGUUAUACUGAACUGUCCCCCACCCUGAUAGGAAAAUAUAUGCCUGGAUUUCUUUAAAAACUGUGCAUUUAUGGGGCUGGCCCCGUGGCCGAGUGGUUAAGUUCGCGCGCUCCGCUGCAGGCGGCCCAGUGUUUCGUUAGUUCGAAUCCUGGGCGCGGACAUGGCACUGCUCAUCAAACCACGCUGAGGCAGCGUCCCACAUGCCACAACUAGAAGGACCCACAACAAAGAAUACACAACUAUGUACCGGGGGGCUUUGGGGAGAAAAAGGAAAAAAUAAAAUCUUUAAAAAAAAAAAAAACUGUGCAUUUAUUAGAAAUGUAAAAGAAAUAUUUUUCUGAUGAACAUGUGCUUGUCAGUUUAAAAUGUUAUGGAAUCUGAGUAAAUGUUAGAAGUCCCCGUUUCUCCCCCUUGUUUACUCACUGCCAUUUCUUAUUUAAUUGAUUGUAGAGAACGUAAUAAAAAGUUGGAUUUCUUCAGUAGUAUUUGAAUACGUUCUGAAAUUCAACUCCAACUAUCUUCUGUCAAGUUUGAAGAUUUGAUCUCUCUCCUCAUAAUUAUUUGCUAAGCAUUUGGCAUAAAUUAUUUAACUUCUCUCUGUUUCAUUUUAUCUUUCUCAUUUCAUUGAUUCAGAAUAGUAGAGUUUUAUGGUGCCAAACAAAUGUCUCCUGUACACUUUAGUAAUUGAAAAUUGUUGGUUAAAGUGGGGAAUCUGUGAUAUACGAGAGUUUUACCUUUUAGAUCUAUUCAUUUCAGUUUUUUAAAAAAGUGAUUCUACUUUUUGAUAAAGGUUAAAGUGUUAUUCAGUGCCAAAUGUUAUGCAAAAUUAUAGUAAGUGACUAUUUGAUCUCUUUUCAUUGUUAAUGGCUUAAUAUUGAGAUUUUUCUUAAAACUAGAAAUAUGCUAGCAUCAAAAUCUGGAUUCAAGUGAAAGGUGGUUUUCUUUAACUUUUAGUUCUUCACAAAGCUACCAGUACAGUAUGAAACCAACAGCAGUUUCACAUGUAGGAUUUUUAUAUGUAUAUAAAUUAGAAUUACUUUUUAAUAUCGGCCUUAGCUUCCUUAAUGUUAUGAAAAGAACCAGUCCCGAGGGUGUUUUUAUAAUGUAAUACACGCUAUUCCUGUGAGGCUGAGCAGAGCUGCUGCAGGAAUCCGAACCCUGGCCGCAGAAGCUGCCCAGCUGCUCAGCUGCUGUCCUGGGACUGACCGGAUGCACUCACAGCUAGUUCACAAGCUCAGACCUUCCCUAGCUUAUUUCACAGUGAGUCUUUAAGGACCAUUGAACUAUGUGUUCAGUAUUUGUCCUACUGUCUAAAAAUAUUGAAAAACAGGGUUUGCACUGUUUGUUUUGUUUUUUAAAAGUGGUGUGAGAACUCCCCUUUGCUGCUUGUUCUUCGUGCACAUUCUAUAAGAGCUCAAAGUCCCCAGGAAAAAAAGGAUUUUUGUAAAGUUUCUUUGAUUGAAAAAGUCUGACACGUCCUUGAAGGUAUACAGUUGCCUUAAUUUUGACAUUAUAAGUUAUCUGUGAAAAUUACUGUUUUGGGUAUCGUAUUUAUAUUUAACAAUCACUUGCUUAAAAUUAUCUCCUGUAUGUAGUCAGUAGCCCCUAAAGAUUCCGUAUUAACCAGAAUGCUGCGUUACUUUCGAGUAAAGAUAUGAGUAUGAAUGAGAAACAGCUGGGGGACUGGGUAUUAGCAAAUCCUUCAUUUUCAGCCAACUUUCUAAAUCUUUGGUCAUUCACUCCGUAAUAUUUAGAGUAAAAUGUGCAAGUGCCUCUUUGUUCUCUUCACAUUCACAUGCCACAGCCUUUCUUUCUGUUACACUCGAAAUUGUUAAUGGUGUUGAUCCUUCCAAACUCUUGUGUUUUUACACACAUAUACUCUGCUAAUAUGGGUGGGAUUUUUAAUAUCAUGAGAUCAUACUAUAUCUCUCUUGUCCUUUUCUUCAUUGCGUUUUGGGGAACUUGCCGUAUCUGUACACCACAUAUUUUUUUAAUUCCAUAUAUAAAUGUACCAUAUGGUAUUUACUUCUCUAUUAGUAGAUCUUUAGGUUGCUCCAAUAUUUUACUAUUAUAGGCAGUCCUGCAAAAUACAAAUAUUUUGAUGCAUAGAUGUAACUAAUUGUACAAGACAGUGUGUAAAGGUGUAAUUGCUGUGUCAAGGAACACGUCUAUUUAAAAUACUUAUAGAUACUGCUAAGUUAAUCUCCAGAGAGUCUGCCAGUUUACAUUUUCUUUAACAGUGUGAGAGAGCACCUGUUUCCUCACAUCUUUGCCAGGGCGUUAUCCAUCUUGUUCAUUUUUGCUGAUCUAAUGGUUGCAAAGUAGUAUCUCUUUUUUAAUUGCAUUUCCUUGUCUAAAGGAGAAGUUGUCUUUUUAUAUCUUUCUUGGCUUUUUUCUUUCAUUUUUAUUUUUUUUGAUUGCAUAUUCAAAUUCUUUGCCCAUAUUUCUUUUGUUAAUUUGUUCUUAUUGCUUUCUAGGAACUCUAUAUACUUUGGACAUUUUUUCUUUCUAUGUUAUAUGUGUUGCAAAUAUUUCCUUCUCAGAUUUUUUUUAGUCUUUUUUUUUGAGGAUUAGCCCUGAGCUGACAUCUGCCACCAAUCCUCCUCUUUUUUGCUGAGGAAGACUGGCCCUGAGCUAACAUCUGUGCCCAUCUUCCUUUACUUUAUAUGUGGGACACCUGUCAUGGCAUGACCUGACAAGCAGUGCGUAGGUCCACACCUGGGAUCCAGACCAGCGAACUCCGGGCCACCAAAGUGGAACGUGCAAACUUAACCGCUGUGCCACCGGGCCAGCCCCCGUCAUGUGUUUUUUAACUAUUUAAAACUGUUAUGUAAUCUUCUGUGGCUUCUGGGUCUUGUUGUCUUUCUUAGGAAGGCCCCUUCCACAAACCUCAAUAUUAUACAUUAUGCUAAAUAUAUUAUCUUUUCAUCUUUUAAAACUAUUUCAUCAAAACUAAGAAAUGCCAUUGAUUAUAUGACACCAGGAUUUGAUAUACUGAGAAAGAAGAAAAACAAAUCUUGAGAAACGGAUAGAGUGCUUUUUUUCUCAUCAUUUCAAAUUUAUUUUAUAGCUACUUAAAGAUCUCUUUUAGACAUUUAUUCAGACCAGUUUUUUUAAAUUGUAAAACUUAUAUAAAAAGGGAAAAUCUGUUCUGUCAAUUCUUCAUCUUUGCAUUAACAAUCCUUAGUCUUUGGGUGGUGGACACCCUGAAUUUGUUCCUCUGAAUUUGUCACUCAUUUAAACACAUCUUUAUUACUCUCCAAGUAUUCAUAAAUACCGCAGUGUAUAUGAAACACCUGUUAUGGCACAGAUACUUAUCUAGGUACUUUCAUAUAUGUUCUCAUCUAACCCUAGCAGCAACUCUACAGUUGAGGAAACUGGGACUCAGAAAAGUUUCAAGUUGCUUGUAAUCACAGAGCAGUUAAAGUGAUGGAGAUCCCUCGCUUCAGAGGUAGUAUCAAUCUAGAGUGGAACAUCUCUAAUUUUUUACAAGCGUGUGAUUCCGAUUUUCAUACCUUUUCAGAACCAGUGUAUGCUGUGCUGCCAAAUAAAAGUUCACUUUUGUCCUUAUCUUACUGAUAAGUUUGCAGAUAUUUUUUACCCUCUGUCAAUUGUCAUAUUGUUAUAGUUCUAGAGUCAGUAGGAUUUAUAAUUGGAUCUUCACUUUAAAGUGGGAAAUAAAUGCAGUGAUACCAAGAAAAUUCCCUAACUGUUCUUUCCAUUUAUAUGUUAAGCCUAAACCAGAACAAGAGAUUAUAGUUGCACACUACCUAGAGCAAAGUUCUCGACGUUAGAAUCCUCGUCCGUCUUAAUAGUUGUCCACCUUCAACCUGUAGAGGAAAGUGUGUUUUCAAAACUGCGUAAACGAUAAGAAUGAUAGAGUUUUUAUUAUGACCCUAAGGAAGUCAUUCAGACUUUUUUAUUUUCUCACACGCAUUCAGACUCUUAGCUUCAAACUGAAUAUUGUACUGUUUGCUUAUGUAUUAAAAAAUGAUUGAACAUAUCUCGAGCAACUCGGACAAGACAGAGAAGACUCCACAGGGUUGACAUUAGAGAAAGCUAUUCAGAGUAGGAAACUUAAUGUGGCCGUGCCAUACGGGGAUGUUGUAACCCUAAGAGUUAGAGGAGUACUCUGGGUAGGCCAGAGCACAAGUCUUUUCUAAAGUUGUGUUGGCUGUCCUGGGGUUUGAAUUCAUGCCUUGUAUUUCUUUCUAUGUGUGACAAGUUCAGUAUGUAAGAAGCAGUGUUCAUAAGAGUUGGCAAACCUGUUUUACUUGUUUCUCAAGCUUUUCAGAUCAUUGCUUAUAAACCAGAUAUUUAUAGUAAAUAUCUUGUUUGAAAUGUAGACUAACCCUAUUAAAUAGUGUGUCCUUGUGCUGUGCUCAUUUAAUGAGUUCACCCUCUGGUGCGUUGGCAUGUGAUUUGAAGUAGCUCUCAGUGCCACUGGAGUGUUUGAAGGAGUUAAAGGGAAAAGCAGGAAGAGAAUAACAUUUUUGGGGAAAAGUGAUCAUACAACAGAUAGGCCCUUGGGAGAAUAAAGGAUGUAGUCUAUUAUGUGACCUUUGGCUAAUUCCUGAAGCAUGCUGACCUCAUAUUCCUUGUAUGUAAAUGACAACAUUAUAGCGUUAAAAGUCUCUUUACCUCCGCGAGUCCAUCCAGCGAUCUCUUCUUGUGUGUUUGUGUGUGUCAGUCGAGCACAAUAUUUAGCAAAGUGUGUUCUAGGUUAAACCACCUGGACUUGUCUGUAAAAUGGGGUUUCCCGUCUCCUAAAUUGUAAUGAGAAUUUAAUUAGGUAACACAGAUAAAUUACUUAGCACACUGCCUGGCACAUACCAAGCACUCCGGAAAUAUCCCCAUUCUUCAAAGCUCAGCUCAGAUGUCAGGUCAGUAGUGUCUGGAUCCUGGACCUUCUGGGUAAAACUGGCCUCUUCUUUGUGCCAUGAACAUGCCUUGUACUCACUUCUAAUUUAGCACUGUCACUUGUGCUAAAUUUAUCACUAACUUAUCUACACGUCUGCUUCCCCUCUUACAUUUUGAGCCGCUUGGGGACAGAGACAGGUUUAUUCAUCUUCUUAAAUUCAGUGUUAGGCGUGUUAAAUUUUUGUUGAAUAAACUUGUAUUCUUGUUUUUAAAUAGGAUCCCCUCCCCCGCUCAAUGGAAGAUAAUCCUAGAGCAAACGUGACAAGUAGGAAUGUUCUCAAACCACUUUUUUUUUUUUGACAGCUGUGCAAUUGCCAUUGUACUCCUAAGGAUUAGAUCAUUUUUUACUUUACUUCUUCACAGUGUUUUUCUUUUAAUAAGAAAAUUAAGAAAGUGACUGCCAGUUGGAGAAAAUGGUCCUAUAAAUAUAAAUGAAAGUGCACUGAUGAGAAAUUUUAUAAAGCCAUCAUAAUGGCGCUAUAAAAAUGUUGAUCUUGGAACCAAAGCCCUGGGUUCGUGUCAUAGCACUGCUACUUUCUGGCCAUAUGACAAUGAUCGAACUGUUUUGUCCCUCCGACUCUACAAAGUGGGCAUGACAUCCAUUUCAUGUUACAUGUUGUAACAGUAAGGAAAAAUAGGCUGUUUGGGGAAGGGUUGGAGAGUGCUGUGAGGGUGCUCUGGAUAGACCAGAGCACAAGUCUUCCCUAAAGUUGUGACAGUGAUUGAUGUGAGAGAUUCCUAAAGUACUAGCACGGUGCCUGCUUAACGGAAGACACACAACUCAUCUUUAAUGGAGUUAGUAUCAGGUGAUAAUAUACCCUUUAAAAUUGAGAAAAGCCAACUUAUUUUACCAUACACACACUUGUUUACUGUUAGAAAUAUUGUUGUUUAAAUUAGUUGUACCCUUGCUUAGGUGUUGAAAACAGAACUAAAAUGUUAAAUGAUGACCACCUGAUUUUACUUCCAUCAUGCUAAUGUUGUAGGGAAGAGUAAACAGAGAUCAAAUGGCAAAAGCAUACUCAAGAAUUAAGUUGCGUAAUUAAAGGUUUACUAUUUUCUUAACACAAGAAGGCAGGUCUCUACUUCAUCCUACUUUCCUGUAGUCAAUCACUGAUAGGGGCUGGCCCUGUGGCCGAGUGGUUAAGUUCACACGCCCUGCUUUGGUGGCCUGGGGUUUGCCAGUUCAGAUCCUGGGCAUGGACCUAGCACCCCUCAUCAAGCCAUGCUGUGGUGGCAUCCCACACAGAAGAACUACAAGGACUUACAACUAGAAUACACAAGUAUGUACUGGGGCUUUGGGGAGAAGAAAAAUCACUGAUAACUGGAGAUACGGACUGAAAACAUUGGAGCCAUCUAGGUCUUCAUUGAUUGCAUUCUUUUAUGAAAGGUGGAAGUGUAGAGAGAAUUAGUCUCAAUAUAGUCAUACGCCAUCUAACAACGUUUCAGUCAAUGACAAACUGUGUAUAGGAUGGUGGUCCCAUAAGAUUAGUACCAUAAUAGCCUAGGUGCAUAGUAGGUUAUACCAUCUAGGUUUGUGUAAGUGCACUCUAUGACAUUUACCCAACAACAAAAUCGCCUAAUGACAUAUUUCUCAGAACGUAUCCCUGUCAUUAAGCAACAUAUGACUGUACUGCUAAUACAAAUAAAAUUGGUUAAUUAUAGAUGCCUUUCCAUCUAGUGGUUAUGGUAUAUAAACCUUCAUUACCUAUGGUUUUGUCCAAAUCAUCUCCUGGUUACCAUGUUUUAAAGCAACCUCUCAUAAUCCGCCAUUUGUAAUUUCUUCUCUCCCUGUUCUUACUGGCUUUCUACUUUUAUACCUUUUUACAAUAUAAACAUUUUCUUCCAACUCUCAGUUUGUGUUUUCUUCAUUUGAUCUGUUUUUCAGAGUGUAUCAGUUAGUGAUUGAACCUGACUGCAGUAUAACAGAAAACUCCAAAACAGUAGCUUAAACAAGAUGGUGGGGUUUUCCCAACCCCCUCUCACUUAGAGUUUGUUUCCAGGAAUCUUGGUGGCGUGGUAGACUGAACUAACGUAAAUCCUCCUACCACCACUAUCCCAUCACUCCAAAUUCAUAGAGAUGUCAGAUAAGACAUAAUAGAUACACACAGCUGACUGCAAAAGAAAAUCCCAGCUACCAGAAAUGAAGAGAAAACAAAGCCAGAGCAGUAAACUCCAGAGCUGAAAGCUGCUCUGUCCAGGGGUUGGUAAUCUUGGCUGUGAGUCUCACCUGUGAACACUGGGACUGUACCAGUAAGGGAUCUGACCUGACAAAAUGCAGGGAAGCUGGGACUGAGACCUCUGCACGAAGCCAAGACCCUAGAAGGUGCUGCGCCUCAGGAAGGGGGAAGCAGAGCUCUACACAGCAGCCUGGGGAACUACAAAGCACCUUCUGACCCUAAGACAGCAUGGAGGGAGAGGAAGAGUUCCAUGAGAAAGAGGAAGUGUAUGCUCCAGUCUUGCUCUCACCAUGACCAUGCUUCGCUUAAAAAUUAUUGUGAGUACCUCUUUAAUGUGCCAAGCACAGUAAGGUCCUGAUGGUAAAGCAAUGAAUGAAACACAGAAGUUUCUGACCUCUCGGGCCUCUAUUCGAAUGCCAUUGGGAAAAAAUUUACUAAUGUGUAUAUCAGACACGGAGACAAUUUUCAAAAUGACGGAAUAAAAUAAAUCAGGUUGUCUUGUUGGGUUGUACGAGUUUUUUGUAUGUUUUGGUUAUUAACUGCUUAUUGGAUAUAUGACUUGCAAAUAUCUUCUUCUAAUAAGCAGGUUGUCUUUUUAUUGAUAGUUUCUUUUGCUGUGCAGAAGCUUUUUAGUUUGAUAUAGUCCUAUUUAUUUUUUCUUUUGUUUCUCUUGCCUGAGGAGACCUAUCCAAAAAGACGUUCCUAAGACCAAUGUCAAAGAGCAUGCUGCCCAUGUUUUCUUCUAGGAGUUCUAUGGUUUAUGUCUUACAUUCCAAUCUUUAAUCCAUUUUGAGUUAAUUUUUGUGUAUGGUGUAGCACAGCGGUCCAUUUUCAUUCUUUUGCAUGUGGUUGUCCAGUUUCCCCAACACCAUUGAUUGAAGAGACUGUCCUUUUUCCAUUGUAUAUUCAUGGCUCUUUGGCAUAAAUUAAUUGACCAUAUUGUGUGAAUUUAUGGGCUCUCUGUCUCGAAAAAAUUCUUUUUCAAUAGGAAAGACAACUUCAUAUCAGGAAAGAAAUAAGCUAUGAAUAAACAUAUAGUUAAGACUUUCUUAAAUGACAA